UUCCGCCAAAAAAAAUCACCUCAAGACCGCAACAGGGCAUACUUCACUGAAUUCCAAACUGAUUGUUGAUGUGAUCAUUUGGAUUGGAAAAGUCCAAACAGUUCAUCUGCCCCAUCCCUGGUCAUUUGGCUACUGGCUGUCUUGGAUGCUGGACCCUAAUAUUCUAAGGUCUUCUUCCAGCUCUCACAAACCAUUUUCAGUCCAGCUUAUGAAGACUGCCCUGCUCUCCCCAGAAAGCCUCAUUAAAUACUGACUUUUGGGAACGAUCCACUGGGAACGAUAUGGAGAUUGAAAUCAUGGAAAGAGACUGACAAACAGCUUCCAUUGCUCCACCCCACUGCAGUCCUCCCUCCCUGAGCAAGAAGGAUUUUUCUUGUACACAAACCAAGUCGUGGGGAACCGUGCACCUUAAAGAAUCCAGGAGAUCCCAGGUCAGAAAUCAUUUCCUUAAGAAGUAUUCUGGAUCUCCAGUUGAUACCAGCUCUUAGAGAACCAGAUCUUUCUCCUUUGGAUCACUUAUGCGGAUUUUCAUCUACCUUGACUUAGAUACGUGCUUCUUCUGAACUUGUAAUCUGAGGUAUCAGAGUCCAUGCAGCAAACCAAUGGCAAGUUCAAAGUGAAGGAAGUCUACAUUUGUU